CCUGGCUACAACCUGGCAGGGGAGGGCUUUGAUGUUCUUACACUUAAGCGAAAAGGAGCUUAUGUGAUUGAUGUGAAGACCUACCUCAAUUCGAGUGACACCUGUAAACUCUGCCUCAAUCCUCAACAAGGCUACAAACUGCAGAAACUACCAGUCUCUGCUUUGGACUGGCGUGCGUUCAGCCGCUGCAGUUUUCAUCUCGAGGACAGUGAACACACCUCCAUCAGCUCACUGGUCGCAGCAUACACCAACCAGAACAGCAUCGACUGGAAGGUA